rnacentral:misc_RNA from 1 species
GAAAUGCGAUAAUUAAUGUGAAUUGCAGAAUUCAGUGAAUCAUCGAGUCUUUGAACGCACAUUGCGCCCCCUGGUAUUCCGGGGGGCAUGCCUGUCCGUGCGUCAUUGCUGCCCUCAAGCACGGCUUGUGUGUUGGGCUUCCGUCCCUGGCAACGGGGACGGGCCCAAAAGGCAGUGGCGGCACCAUGUCUGGUCCUCGAGCGUAUGGGGCUUUGUCACCCGCUCCCGUAGGUCCAGCUGGCAGCUAGCCUCGCAACCAAUCUUUUUAACCAGGUUGACCUCGGAUCAGGUAGGGAUACCCGCUGAACUUAAGC